GAUGCUGCCAUGUUCCCACCUUGAUGAUACUGGACUGAACCUCAGAACCUGUGCUGGUUGUUCUGGGAGCUGGACAUGCUGAGGUGUGCCAACCAUGUUGGUAGCACUGAAGGGGUUCACAGAGAGCAAGCUGAAUUGGAAGGCUCCCCCAUCUGUCUCUACAGACAGGGUGAAGAAGACAGAGAGGCCUUGUGGCCGGGCCGUGUGACGUUCCCGAAGCCUGGACCAGAGCAGUUAAGCCCUUGCCUCUGAUAAGAGUAAAGCAGAAAAGGCUGUGCAAUCUGUGCUUCCAUAACCAGAAUAGCAACACUCGUGUUUCUAUCUGACCUAUAAGUAAGUGAUUAAGAAUUACAAACAAUUGUGAAAUAUAAAUUCAUCAGAAAGCUAGAAUAAGCUAUACGGAAGCCAUUUGGGAUGAGUCUUCAUGAGAAGAGCCUGGAGAGCCUGUUCACUAAACCCAAGGCAGAGAAAACUUCAGAGACAUGUGCUCCUGUCAUGAUGUGCUGCCACAAAUUGACCUCAUAGAGGCCAGGUCAAGCUCACUGCUCCCCUCUACCCUCCACCACUGCCUGUUCCCACUAUUCUUGGAUGUUGCACUUUCAAAACUCUAAGAUGGAGAAGAUGGAAGAAAUCACCUUUCCUUCAGGCCUUGCUAUCUCAACACUACAGCAGUUAUACCAAGUAGCCCAGCAUCAUCUUCUUGACCCUGCCCAUUGAUUUGGAUGGACUUGGCUAUUGGAUACUUGCUAUGAAAGAAUUUUUUUAUUACAUCAACUGGGAGGGAUGCAAAGUUGGAACGAAGUGAUAAAAACUUAAAACCUGAGCAUCUGAGACAGAUGGAAGAGGUGUUUACACAAUAAGAAAUUAGUGAUUGGGUCUGCCUGUCUGUUACCUUCUACACAGCUCUAGGGAAUUCAGAAGUCAGAACUGUCUUUGUGUAUGCCAAGGAGAGGACUGGUGUGUAAAGGUCCUGGAGAGCCUCAGGAAAGGAUGCCAACCAUGUGACCAGGGAAUGUAAAUUGCAAUCAUCAAACACACGGAGUAGAAAUCCAGAUUCAGACCUGCAAGGUGGCUUCCUGAGGACUAACUGAAUGAACUUGGUCACUGGUGAUGGAUCAAAGCAGCUUCAUCUUGAC